rnacentral:rRNA from 1 species
AUACGGAGGGGGCUAGCGUUGUUCGGAAUUACUGGGCGUAAAGCGCGCGUAGGCGGAUCGUUAAGUCAGGGGUGAAAGCCCGGAGCUCAACUCCGGAACUGCCCUUGAUACUGGCGAUCUCGAGUCGGGGAGAGGUGAGCGGAAUUCCUAGUGUAGAGGUGAAAUUCGUAGAUAUUAGGAGGAACACCAGUGGCGAAGGCGGCUCACUGGCCCGGUACUGACGCUGAGGUGCGAAAGCGUGGGGAGCAAACAGGAUUAGAAACCCCAGUAGUCC